rnacentral:rRNA from 1 species
UUACGGGAGGCAGCAGUGGGGAAUAUUGCACAAUGGGCGAAAGCCUGAUGCAGCGACGCCGCGUGAGGGAUGACGGCCUUCGGGUUGUAAACCUCUUUCGACAGGGACGAAGCGAGAGUGACGGUACCUGUAUAAGAAGCACCGGCCAACUACGUGCCAGCAGCCGCGGUAAUACGUAGGGUGCGAGCGUUGUCCGGAAUUACUGGGCGUAAAGAGCUUGUAGGCGGUUCGUCGCGUCGAUCGUGAAAACUUGCAGCUCAACUGCGAGCUUGCGGUCGAUACGGGCGGACUAGAGUACUUCAGGGGAGACUGGAAUUCCUGGUGUAGCGGUGAAAUGCGCAGAUAUCAGGAGGAACACCGGUGGCGAAGGCGGGUCUCUGGGAAGUAACUGACGCUGAGAAGCGAAAGCGUGGGUAGCGAACAGGCUUAGAUACCCUGGUAGA